CCGCAUUCCACAGCGAACGGCAGUAUUGUGGAAUUUUCUAUCUGCGAGUACUGCUUAUUUAUCACGACGCAGAAAGUGCAGGGUACGUCAAAGUCGCAUUCAGCGUAACGACCGGUACGGAUUGCAGCAAGACCACUUCGUCGGAAAGGAAUCGUCCGAAGAUGUACCGUCGUUAUCCGUCGCGUUGUACGGUUCAUUCGGAUUGAUCUCGGAAUCGCUGGGAGUGUGCGGC